CCUUCGAUAGCUCAGUUGGAAGAGCGCAAGACUGUAAUAGGAUAUAAUGUUCGACGAGAUCUUGAGGCCACCGGAUCGACGCCGGUUCGAAGGA
rfam:Piloderma croceum F 1598 unplaced genomic scaffold scaffold_00017, whole genome shotgun sequence.